rnacentral:rRNA from 1 species
GAUGAACGCUGGCGGCGUGCUUAACACAUGCAAGUCGAACGAUGAAGCCCAGCUUGCUGGGUGGAUUAGUGGCGAACGGGUGAGUAACACGUGAGUAACCUGCCCCUAAUUCUGGGAUAAGCCUGGGAAACUGGGUCUAAUACCGGUACGGCGCGUCCACCGCAUGGUGGGUGUUGGGAAGAUCUAGCGGUUUUGGAUGGACUCGCGGCCUAUCAGCUUGUUGGUGGGGUAAUGGCUCACCAAGGCAACGACGGGUAGCCGGCCUGAGAGGGUGGCCGGCCACCCUGGGACUGAGGCACGGCCCAGACUCCUACGUGAGGCAGAAGUGGGGAAUAUUGCACAAUGGGCGCAAGCCUGAUGCAGCGGCGCCGCGUUAGGGAAGACGGCCUUCGGGGUGUAAACCUCUUUCAGUAGGGAAGAAGCGGAAGUGACGGUACCUGCAGAAGAAGCACCGGCUAACUACGUG